GAACAAAGUUUCUCCAUUUUAGGACAAUAAUCCAAUUCAAACCUUUCUAAUGAGGGCCAAUCAAAAGAAAUAUGAUUGUCUGCACAAAAAGCCAUCAGCUUUGGUAGGCUAAAAAGUUUAAGCACAAUUAGGUUGGGAAACACUAUUUUGCUUAUUCUCUUGUCUUUUUCUUCUUCUUGUGUUUCUGCAACAAUAUAUUCUAUCUCAAGACAAUGAACGACAAUUAACUCUUCAAGCCGCACCAAUUGUUGAGCUACAGAGGGAGGGAAAGCCACUUUUAACAAACCACAAUUACUCAAGUAAAGCUUUUGUAAAUUUGAUAGUCGUUGGCAAAGGGAUGGAAAUAAUAUAGAAAUCAUUUCUACUGGUCCAGCUUGGGUAUGCUCAAUUUCUGUACUAUUGUUCCUUUGAGAUGUGCUCGGUUGGUCUAUAUCCUUCCAGGACAAGGAUUUGUUGAUGAUAAAACCACGGAAGUUUGGUAGGUCCCUCAGCUCCAAAUCUGUAAGUUCGGGAAACUCAACCUCGUCGUCCACUUCGCUGUUGUAGAAAAUUCCCUCCAUCUCUUUGCAGAGAUUUACAAAUAUUUUAUGAAGUUGUCUCAAUCCUUUAGCCAUGGAUAAUGGAAUGAAGUACUUCAACUCAUCACAAUACUCUAUAUUUAAUUCUCUCAAUUUCCCAAAGUAUGGAAGCUGAAUUUCUUGUGGCCGUGGAAUCCUCUGUAGUGCAUCAACUGAGUAGCCCUGUUCAACACAUUCAUCAGUUGAUAUUACCUGCUUCAUAUUUAUCACUUCUAUCAAAUUCAAGACUUCAGCUUUCCCCAUCAAGACUUUCAUCCCAGUUUCUUUAAUAUCACUUGCAUCAUCUCCAAGUUGCAACACUUUCGCAUAAUUUCUGUCAGCUACAAUUUCAUUUGUGCAGCCUACACAAAUUUUAAAUCUUUCUAAGUUUCUAAAGACUGAAACUUCAGGCAAAAUGGAGGCUUUUGGUACAGAAAUUUCUAAUGCAGUCAUAUGAUGAGUGUCUAGCUCGCUGAGGCUUGCAUUGGUUUUCCUUCCGUCUUCCAUGGGUUCCCAAUUCCCAAAGCGAUAUGGCAAAUACAACUCUUCUAGUUUAGACAGCGCUAACAAUACGCCUGAUGGAAUGUAUUCAAGGCCAUCGACCCUCCUCAAGUCCAGCAAACUUAGAUUUUUUAGUUGUCCUAUUUCUCCAGGCAACCUUAAGCAUCUAUCACGAAUUUCGAGUAUUUCUAGUUUGACAAGAGCUGCAAUGGCGCGUCCGCAAUGUUCGUUAAAUACCACAAGACAUAAGGUUCGAAGAUUCCUCAGGACAUCAAGUGAUUGUAGCAGUGAAGGGAAACUCG
rnacentral:misc_RNA from 1 species